UCGCUUUUGGAUGAGUCCGCGUCCCAUUAGCUUGUUGGUGGGGUAACGGCCUACCAAGGCUACGAUGGGUAGCUGGUCUGAGAGGAUGAUCAGCCACACUGGAACUGAAACACGGUCCAGACUCCUACGGGAGGCAGCAGUGGGGAAUAUUGCGCAAUGGGGGAAACCCUGACGUAGCGACGCCGUGUGAGGGAAGAAGGCUUUCGGGUCGUAAACCUCUGUCAGAAAGGAAGAACCUCCCAUAUCCGAAUAGGGUGUGGGACUGACGGACUUUCAAGGAAGCGCCGGCUAACUCCGUGCCAGCAGCCGCGGUAAUACGGAGGGCCAAGCGUUAAUCGGAAUCACUGGGCGUAAAGCGCGCGUAGGCGGCUUUCUAAGUCGGGCGUGAAAGCCCUCGGCUCAACCGGGGAACUGCGUUCGAAACUGGGAGGCUCGAGUCCUGGAGAGGGUGGCGGAAUUCCGGGUGUAGGAGUGAAAUCCGUAGAUAUCCGGAGGAACACCGGUGGCGAAGGCGGCCACCUGGACAGGUACUGACGCUGAGGCGCGAAAGCGUGGGGAGCAAACAGG
rnacentral:rRNA from 1 species